GCUCUGGCCUUAGCCGACCCAUGACACGUCUAGUUGAAAGGUGUCUUAUUGCAAGAGUCUUAUACAUAGCAAAUUGCGAAGUGGGGUGGGUGGUGUUCAAUUCCCUUUCAUGCUAUGUUUGAUGGGAAGAAGAGGCCGUUCAGUGUGAUCCCUCCAUCGACGUAAAUAAUCUGCCCUGUUAUAUAAGAAGCUGCAGGCAGGCAGAGAAAUGCCACCAAUGACGAGACUUCUUUUGGCUCUCCGGUGCGUCCCAUCGGAAUCUUAGUGAUGAAAGCCCCAAGUGCUUUUUCAUCAUGAAAAAACUGCAAAGGAGAACGGAAAACAAUCGUAAUCAGCUCUUUCAAAAUUGGAGAAUGUGGAGCAAACUAUGCUUUGACGAAGCUUUCCCAGUUUUCUAGCAAGGACAAUGUAGCAUUUGGUCUGUUAAUGCUAGGUUGGCCUGUUGCCUCUUCUGCUAAAUAGCUUUUUUCUAACUUCUUGUCAUGGUGCUAAAGUGAUCCCACAUGUUCAUCUUUUUUCUAAACAAAUCACUUUCAUUUUUAUGUUGGACGAUAUUCGUGCUGGCUAGGUCCUAUUAUGAUCAUGCUGAAUGAUGAUAAGCGUAGGGAAAGUUAUUUACAGGUUCAACAAGGGGAGUUCUGAUCACUGAAGGUGCAACAGCAUUGACCCUAAUAUUGUCUCCCGCCCACUCACAUGCUAAGUAUUUUGCAAGCUGGUUCAUGGCCCCUGAAACAGAUGACAUGAGAUUCAGGGAAAUGGCAAAAAAUUUAAGGUCAAAUCUUCAAUUUCGAAAUGAAUUUGUGUAUAUAUACAUGCAGUAGAGGUAGUAUAUCAGGCAAGAGAGUUACCUUUGGUUGCUCCAUAUGUAGGCGCAGUUCUUAGUGGUAUUAGGCCAGCAAUUGAAGAGAGAAGCACAACGCUUCCUGCCCCUGAAGCUUUCAGAAGAGGAUGUGCAAGUAGGCUCAAGUUAUGAGCUGACUCAAAAUUGGUACCCAUGAGAAAUGAAACUUCUUCAGCCGUUUCCUCUGAAAUCGGCUUUGCAAAAACGGUUCCCACAUUGUUUAUCUGCAGUCGCACCAAACAUCAGAACCACGAAUCUCACAAAAACUCAAGAAAUUAUGACAGCCAGUAAUUUUGGAAGGAAGUAGGAAAGCGGAUGAUGAUAAUCACCAGGAUGUCAAGUUUCCCGUUGAAUACAGAGGAGGCAGUGUUAAUUAGCUUUUCCCUUUGGGCCUUAGACGAAACAUCACAGGCUGAACCAGUAACUUGGAAGCCCUUUGCUUGCCAUUCAAGUAAGCACUUGUUGAGCUCGGUUUCGGUUCGGGAGCAUGUAUGAAUUCUUGCUCCUAGUCCCGCUAGUUCCUCUACGAUAGCAUGCCUGAUUGCAGUACUUGGUGUCAGUCAAACAGCAGGUAAAGGAGCAAAACAGUCCCCAAUAUCAAGAAUAAAGCAGCAACAAAGGGCUGUGGUCUUUGAAUAUACAAAAAAUGUUAUAUAUUUUCAUGUAAAAAAGUCCAAGAAUCAAAAGAGAAAGAAAGGGGGAAGAGAGAAAAAGAACCCGAUUCCUUUGGUUCCACCAGUAACAAGGGCAGUCAUGCCAUGCAGACUCCAUCUGUUAUCCUUGCUAGAGCUAUCUGCUUCAGCCAUUCUUACUUCUCUGUCUGCCUCUUCCUUUGUCUGCUUGCAGUUGAGAUAUAUUAUGUGUGGCACAUAGUUGCCUUCCCACAUUCGCCAUUGGUACAAAAGAUUCCAUAGGAAAUUAAAUGGGGAAAAGGACAGCAGUUAAGUAGUUUUGGUUCCACACGGCAGUCACAAUGUAUGGACAAAGGCUAUAGUCAAUAAAGAAUAAGAUGCCGUUGUCCAUAUCCCAUUGUGCUUGGUAAUACCAAUAGCCAUUAGACCUUGCUUUUAAUUAGCUCUCCUUCAUAAUUAUUUAGGUGCAUAAGGCAUUACUAAUUACUCAACAAUUAGGGAGGUAGUUGAUUUUCUUUUUCAUCCAUGUUUAAGGAGUAAUAACAGAAUAAUUAACCAACCAUUGGUCAAGUUUUUAUUGUUUAGAUAAAUGUUUGACAAAAAUCAUAUGAAAAAUUAUCACCUAGGAAAGUGUUUGCUCCAAUCACUGAAUUUAUAAUUAUACUACCUGUAGGGAUGAGCAAACCAAAUCAGAUUAAUUAUCCACUCAAAUCAAAUACAAUUUUGGUAAAAUGGUUUGGUCUAAUUAAUUCAUUGGGUCAAUUGAUCUAAAAUAUUUAGUCUAAUUAGUUUUUUGGUCAGUUCUUGGAUUUAAAAUUUUUGAACCAAUCCACUCAAAAAAUACGCUAAUUAUAUAUAUAUAUUAAUAUAUAAAAUAUAUUUUUAUAUAUAUAUAUAUAAAAAANAUAAUAAUAUAAAUAAUAAAAUAUAUUUUUAUAUAUAUUAAGAAAAUGGAUAAUAAACUUAAUUAAUAAUGUCACGAUCCAAAUCGGGGAGCUGUCAUUGAUGCACGAGCCCAGCAGGCAAAACCCACGAGAUCUUAGCAAGCGUACAAAAUUUUGGAUCAAAUUAGAACAUAUAACACAUAGCCAAGGGUUUUCCACAAUUGUAUAUUCAUAAUAUAAUUUAAAUUCAAAUACAUGUCAAUUACCCCUUGGUGUCAUGGGCCAAAAUUUAAGCUUAACCUCGUGCGACCUUGAAUUCUGAAAAUAAAACUUAAGUAAGCUUAUAAAUCAUGAAUCCAUAUUCUCAACCCAAAAGACAUGCCUAAUAGGUGGUGGAAGAUCUAUGUUUAUAUAUUCAAGACCCACCUCAUCUCUUAUUGAUGUGAGAUCCGUGAUAUUUUACCCCACCUAAUUGUGUAAUACUUUUGUUGCCUUCCUAUUUUCGCCAUUGGUACAAAAGAUUCCAUAGGAAAUUAAAUGGGGGAAACGGACAACACUUAAGUAGUUUUGGUUCCACAUGGCAGUCACAAUGUAUGGACAAAGGCUAUAGUCAAUAAAGAAUUAGAUGCAAUUGUCCACAUCCCAUUGUGCUUGGUAAUACCAAUAGCCAUUAGACCUUGCUUUUAAUUAGCUCUCCUUCAUAAUUAUUUAGGUGCAUAAGGCAUUACUAAUUACUCAACAAUUAGGGAGGUAGUUGAUUUUCUUUUUCAUCCAUGUUUAAGGAGUAAUAACAGAAUAAUUAACCAACCAUUGGUCAAGUUUUUAUUGUUUAGAUAAAUGUUUGACAAAAAUCAUAUGAAAAAUUAUCACCUUGGAAAGUGUUUGCUCCAAUCACUGAAUUUAUAAUUAUACUACCUGUAGGGAUGAGCAAACCAAACCAGAUUAAUUAUCCACUCAAAUCAAAUACAAUUUUGGUAAAAUGGUUUGGUCUAAUUAAUUCAUUGGGUCAAUUGAUCUAAAAUGUUUAGUCUAAUUAGUUUUUUGGUCAGUUCUUGGAUUUAAAAUUUUUGAACCAAUCCACUCAAAAAAUACGCUAAUUAUAUAUAUAUUAAUAUAUAAAAUAUAUUUUUAUAUAUAUUAAGAAAAUGGAUAAUAAACUUAAUUAAUAAUGUCACGAUCCAAAUCGGGGAGCUGUCAUUGAUGCAUGAGCCCAGCAGGCAAAACCCACGAGAUCUUAGCAAGCGUACAAAAUUUUGGAUCAAAUUAGAACAUAUAACACAUAGCCAAGGGUUUUCCACAAUUGUAUAUUCAUAAUAUAAUUUAAAUUCAAAUACAUGUCAAUUACCCCUUGGUGUCAUGGGCCAAAAUUUAAGCUUAACCUCGUGCGACCUUGAAUUCUGAAAAUAAAACUUAAGUAAGCUUAUAAAUCAUGAAUCCAUAUUCUCAACCCAAAAGACAUGCCUAAUAGAUGGUGGAAGAUCCAUGUUUAUAUAUUCAAGACCCACCUCAUCUCUUAUUGAUGUGAGAUCCGUGAUAUUUUACCCCACUUAAUUGUGUAAUACUUUUGUUGCCUUCCUAUUUUCGCCAUUGGUACAAAAGAUUCCAUAGGAAAUUAAAUGGGGGAAAAGGACAACACUUAAGUAGUUUUGGUUCCACACGGCAGUCACAAUGUAUGGACAAAGGCUAUAGUCAAUAAAGAAUAAGAUGCAGUUGUCCACAUCCCAUUGUGCUUGGUAAUACCAAUAGCCAUUAGACCUUGCUUUUAAUUAGCUCUCCUUCAUAAUUAUUUAGGUGCAUAAGGCAUUACUAAUUACUCAACAAUUAGGGAGGUAGUUGAUUUUUUUUUUCAUCCAUGUUUAAGGAGUAAUAACAGAAUAAUUAACCAACCAUUGGUCAAGUUUUUAUUGUUUAGAUAAAUGUUUGACAAAAAUCAUAUGAAAAAUUAUCACCUAGGAAAGUUUUUGCUCCAAUCACUUAAUUUAUAAUUAUACUACUUGUAGGGAUGAGCAAACCAAGUCAGAUCAAUUAUCCAUUCAAAUAAAAUGCGAUUUAGGUAAAAUGGUUUGGUCUAAUUGAUCCAUUGGGUCAAUUGAUCCAAAAUGUUUGAUCUAAUUAGUUUUUUGGUCAGUUCUUGGAUUUAAAAUUUUUGAAUCAAUCCACUCAAAAAAUCACACUAAUUAUAUAUAUAUAUAUAUAUAUAUAUAUUAAUAUAUAAAAUAUUUUUUAUAUGUAUUAAGAAAAUGGAUAAUAAACUUAAUUAAUAAUGUCAUGAUCCAAAUUAGGGAACUGUGAUUGGCGCAUGAGCCCAGCAGGCAAAACCCAUGAGAUCUGAGCAAGCGUAAAAAACUUUGGAUCAAAUUAGAACAUAUAACACAUAGCCAAGGGUUUUCCACAAUAGUAUAUGCAUAAUAUAAUUUAAAUUCAAAUACAUGUCAAUUACCCCUUGGUGUCAUGGGCCAAAAUUUAAGCUCAACCUCGUGUGACCUUAAACUCUGAAAAUAGAACUUAAGUAAGUCUAUAAAUCAUGAGUCCUUAUUCCUAACCCAAAAGACAUUCCUGAUAGGUGGUGUAAGAUCCAUAUUUAUAUAUCCAAGACCCAUCUCAUCUCUUAUUGAUGUGAGAUUCGUGACAUUUUACCCCACCUAAUUGUGUAAUGCUUUUGUUGCACUGGCUCUUUACCUGUAGAGGAGAGGGACUCUUACGCUAGUUCGGGUCUACCUUGAUCCUUGUAUCUCUCAUGGGAGCCCACAUUAAUGAAUAUUUGAGUUUGCUUUGAUACCACUUGUCACAAGCCGAAACUUAAGCCCAACUUUUUUACCCGUAGAGGAGAAGGACUCUUACAAUAGUUUGGGUCUACCUUGAUCCUUGUAUCUCUCAUGGGGCCCUACAUUAGUGAAUAUCUGAGUUUACUUUGAUACAAAUUGUCACAAGCUGAAACUUAAGCCCAACCCCAUACGGUUUUAAACUUUUAAAAUAAAGCUUAAGUAUAUACUUUAAAGCAUUUGUUUUGGCAUAUAGAAGGGGCAAAAGCAUAAUUUCAAAUGGGGUAAAGGAAAAAGAAGGGCUUUAUCUCCACUAGAGGCUCAUGAGAAUACAUCAUUCCAUAAACAUAUUGUUAGAAAAAAAUUUCUAGGAAACAAAUGAAAAUAAAAUAAAGCAAGUAAAUACAGUAAAAAGUUUGAAGCGAGGUAUCACUGUCUUUAAGGAUAAUUUUCGUCGCCCUUUCAGAGUACAAGACUCGGUGCAAAAGGACUGUAGCAGUUAUCCUCCAGGAUUCAACAGACCAUUCCUUAUAGUUUGCACAAACUAGUAAGGGAUAGCAGGAACAACAAAAAGAUUUCUCUGAAAAAAUAAAACUCAAUAGGAAAGGCAUUAAAACAGAGAAAUAGUAUGCAAAGAAACUUGAGAGGAAAGUAGCAAAAGAAGCCUUGCUUAGUGUGUGUUGUAACUGAGGUAGGGAGGCUGUAUUUAUAAGUAGAUGAUGAAGUGAACGUUGCACCAAAUCAGGAGAGUUUUUGAGUCUGAUUUAUUCAAAGGUUGAGAAAGCUUAAAAGAAAAAUAGGUUAACAUUAGUGGAGUUUGAGUUGAUUCAUUCAAAGGUUGAGAAAGCUUAAAAAAAAAAAAAAUUAAAGCUAAGGUAUAAAAAUUAACUUGGGCUUAGCCCAUGUGUAUACUUGUGCGCAAGAGAAAAAAUUUGAAUUUUUUCAAAGCUUAGCCCAAUCUCGUGUGCGUGUGUGCCCACUCCUUUUUCUUCUUUGCAACAAAUCCAUAAUGAGUUUGCAUAUUUAAAGCACUUACACAUUUAUGUACCUUAGCAAUGUGGGAUAUUUGAACCUUAUUCAAUACACUAUUUUCCCAACAUAUUUAUCUUCUUUACCACCACUCCAUUUAUUCUUUCAUCAAUCGCCUACAACAACUGCCUCUAAUGUAGCUGACUUUUCGGAUGAAAACAACUUUGGUACAACAAUUUUCAAAUUGGUGAAUUCUGUCACAUGGAAAUUCAAGUGUUUAUGGUUAGAAUAUUUUUGUCACAUAGACAUCCACAUGACUGUGAUUUAUGUCACGUAGUCAUCCAUAUUGAUGUCCACAUAAUAUUAAGGUGGUAGAUUUCUUUUAAUGUUGAUGACGAUUGAUUGAUGAAAUGAAUAAAAUUAAAAUAUUUUUAAAAAGUAAUAAAAUUAAAAACUACAUAUUAGAAUUCACGAAUGAAAAUAAAAUAUUAUACAAAAGUCAUAAAUGUUUGAUGCUAGUUAGAGAGAAAAUCAUUUCUAAAAUGUGUAGUCUAUUCACUAGAGUUCCGCAUGUCUUAAUUGUGAGCCUACGCUUUUUAUAACAUUACGUCUCUUCGAUUAACUAAUUUUCACUUAAUGUCUUAUUUUUGUUUGGAAUUAGUCAACCAAUGUGCUCAUAGGCUUUUUAAUUCUUGAAUAUUAAUCUAUAUCAUGGCAUUAUCAACUACAGAUGGCAACAAAAUAUAUAUAGUAGAACAGUAAUUAUAGACAAAAUGCAAGAAGCAACAGCUUUUGUUUCAUUUUGGUAGAUAAUAGAAAUGAAAUCCAAAUCCAAACAAGUGCCGCAGUUCAGAUUUUUUUUUAUUGACAAGUUGCAUUCUUAGACGGCAGAUUAAGAGGGAAAAGAAAGAGAAAGACAAGCAACAGCUAGGGAGCUGUAACUGAGGUGCCGAACACUUCAUUUCUUAUUUUCUUGUUUUGGUUUUUGGGCAAAGCCUUGUGCUCCAUUUCAAGAUUGGGAACUAGCUUGGCUGUUCUUCUCGAUUAAGGUUUCAUGGUAGAAGAAGCCAUUCACUGACAUGCCCCCAUCGAUGCAAAAAGUCUGCCCUGUUAUAUAAGAGGAUGCUAAUAGGCACAGGAAUCCCACCAAGGAUGACACUUCCUCUGGCUCUCCAAUGCAUCCCAUCGGAGUUCGACAGAUGAUAGUCUCUGAAAACUUUUGAAUGUACUGCAAGCAAGGAGAAUGACAACAAUUAUAAAUACUACUAAUUUACAACACUGAAAAUAUUGUACAGUUUGAGGAACAAAACUUUGCAUGCUUUAAUGUAACCUUUCAAAUUUAUAUAUGAACUUUUACCAUAAUGGUCUCAAAUUGUAUACUUUUUAAUUAUUAAAAAAAUCCUAGCAAUCAAUAUAGUCAUUUCUUGUAAUUUAUUCUAUAACUCAUCUCUUAGGAUAUCCGUUUUGGUUACACUUACUCUGAAUGAUAUGAUCAGGCUGAUAAACAUAAACGGUAAAUGUAUGGGGAAAGAAUAUUUUUUACAAGUUCAACAAGGGGAGUUCGAAUGACCAAAGGUGCAACAGAGUUGACUCUUAUAUUGUUCUUUGCCCACUUACAUGCCAAGCAUUUUGCAAGGUGGCUCAUGGCUCCUGAAGACAAUGGAAUGAAAAUCUCAAUUCAGUCAAGAGUGAUAAAAUUACUCACCUAUGUGCUUGCAAUAUAGGUUUAAUUUGACAGGAAAAUUAUACACACAUACACACACACACACACACAGACCUUUUGUUGCUCCAUAUAAAGAUCCACUACUUACUGAUACCACACCAACAACUGAAGAGAGAAAAACGAUGCUUCUCGCUACUAAAGCUUUCAAAAGAGGAUAUGCAAGUUGGCACAAGUUGUAAGCAGACUCAAAAUUGAUCCCCAUGAUCAAUGAGAAAUCUUUAGUGAUGAAGUCUAGAGUCGGCUUUGAAAUAAGUGUUCCCACAUUGUUAAUCUAUAGCACACCAAGUUGGCAUUAUUGGAACCACAAAUGUCUCAUUAGCAAAACUCAGGAGUCUGGACAUUAUGCAGAAUGAGAGUUACCAGAAAAAGAAAGAAUAAGAAUGGAUGCUUACUUACCAGGAUGUUGAGUUUUCCACCAAAUUCAGAGAACAUAGUGCUUAUUAGCUUCUCUCUUUGGGCUUGAGAUGAUACAUCACAGAUUGAACCAGUAACCUAGAAACCCUUUGCUUCCCAGUCAAGUAAGCAUUUGUUGAGGUCAGUUUCAUUUCGUGAGCACGUGUGUGUUCUCGCUCCCAGUGCAACUAAUUCUUCUACGAUAGCGUACUUGGUUACAAUAUUAAUUAAUUUGUGAUCAGUCAAAUAGAAGCUCCAUUUUUGCCAAUAUAAUGAUCUAAUCACUGUAAAGGGGGUUCUUGUGAUAGGGAGAGGAAGUAUUGCAAACAAGUAAAAGAAUGUGCCAGAGGCGGCAGAGAGGAAGAUUGAAGCAAUUCCUAAAGUAUUAAGUACUGUGGUAGGUGGAAGACAAUAAGAAGAGACUUAAAGAGACUUAGAGAGUACAAGAUAAUUAGAGAGAGAAUUUAGAAAGAGAAGCUCUCAAGUUGAGAAUGUGUUAGCUUGGAGGGGGAGAGAAGAGUCAUUCCAAAUGAAUUGUGAGGCUCUAUAUAUAGUGCUAAAAGUGACGAUUACAUAAGAAUAGGCUUUAAUGCGCUUAAUGAAUGACAUUAUUAUGAAGAAUAUUAAUGUAAGUAAACGUUACUGUAAUUGGAUGUAAUAAGACUUGUUCUCAAGUAAGGGUAAUAGAAAAGAGGUGUACAAGAAUAGGUACAAGAGCAGAAGCUGUACGAGAAUAGGUACAAGAGAAUAAGCUGUACAUGAAUAAGUAUACAAGAACAAGGUAAGAGGGUGAAACACUUGUACUUCAGGAAAGGGUUAAGAGGAAGACCUUUUAACUACCUCCAUAUCUGAGCCACCAAGCCAAACUCUUUGGAACAUCCCAAGAUGAAAGUAACCCAUGAACCCUGCCACUUGUUUCGAGUUGCUUUCACUGUCAUCCAAGUGAAAUGGUUAUUCUAUUCGAAGUAGUUGUUUUACUUGUAAUAAUUGUUCCAUAUGGAGUAGUGUUCUAUUUAUUCUAGUUAUUCUGCGUUAAGUAGCACUUCACUUGUUCUAGUUGUUUUGCGUGAAGUAGUGCUUCACUUGUUCUACUUAUUCUACGUGAAGUAGCACUUCACUUGUUUUACUUAUUCUGCGUGAAGUAGCACUUCACUUGUUCUGGUUGUUCUCUGUACAACAUUAUAUUGUAACCUAAUUCUUUAGAGUAACAGUAUUAACCAAAAUCUAGUAUCUACACAUAUAAGGAAAAAAAACCAUAGAAUGAAUCACUUUCAAGCAGUAAAAAACAAUUUGAAACAACUAGUAUGUAAGUUCAUCUCAAGUGAUAAUGGAUUAGAAAAUAGAGAAAUUUAUCAAUUGUACUUAGUUUUGUAUUUCUUGGUGGGUGACUUUUCUUCUUUGCUAGUGGUGGGUUGCUUUUAUGGUGUAGAUUGUGGGAAAAGUUCUCUAACUACUUGACUUUUGAUUGGUGAUGGCAAAACUUAUUCUUCUGGUUGUUUUAUUGUUGCUAUGGGUGUCUAUGAUUCUGAGUUAACAGUUGGAGGUGUUAAUGAUCUCGAGACAUUACUAGAAAUUGCAGUGCACCAUUCUUGAUGUUGCAGUUCAUCACAGUCAAACAUUUUGUAGUUGGCAAUUCCUAUUUUGAUUGCCUUGCUUGUUAACCCCACAGUAAAAAUUCUUACUUAGCUAAUCAAUGCCUUAACAGGUCUAGGUAGCGUCAUUCGGCUGAUAGCCUGCAAUGCUACAAGUUUAAUAAUUGUCACACCAACCAACUUCUCUAUUGGCCUACCAAAGGCCACCAAGUCCAUUUGUCCAGUANNNNNNNNNNNNNNNNNNNNNNNNNNNNNNNNNNNNNNNNNNNNNNNNNNNNNNNNNNNNNNNNNNNNNNNNNNNNNNNNNNNNNNNNNNNNNNNNNNNNNNNNNNNNNNNNNNNNNNNNNNNNNNNNNNNNNNNNNNNNNNNNNNNNNNNNNNNNNNNNNNNNNNNNNNNNNNNNNNNNNNNNNNNNNNNNNNNNNNNNNNNNNNNNNNNNNNNNNNNNNNNNNNNNNNNNNNNNNNNNNNNNNNNNNNNNNNNNNNNNNNNNNNNNNNNUUUUUUUUUUUUUCCAAUUGAAAGUUAACCUGAUGUAGCCUAAUGUAGCCUUAGAAAAGUGAAAAAAAGAACUAAAUAAAUGCUGAAGCAAAAAGACCAAACAAAGGCUGACUAACUUGUCAAAAAUUUUCUUUUUUUUUUAUUUGUUGGUAGCAAAAAGCUGCAAGUUGUAAUAAUCAUUUUUUUUAUUUAUAUAAAGAACACGUUUUUAACUUUGGAACAAUUUAUUGGCAACCAAAAGUCGCCAGCUGCAUAUAUAUAUAUAUAUAGAGGGGGUUUACUUUGGAGGAGUUUGUAGCGGCAAAGCUGCAAGUUGCAGUAGUUUAUAUAUAUAUAUAUAUAUAUAUAUAGAAAGGGAGUGUACUUUGGAGCAGUUUGUAGCGGCAAAAGUUGCCGACCAAAUUUUUUUUUUAUAAAGAAGAUGGCUUUACUUUGGAGCCACGAGCUCUUUUGAAUAGAGCAAUGGAGCUCGCGGUGUGCCGCAAGCUCUUUUAAUUAGAGCUCGCGGUAUGUGCCACGAGUUGCUUCCAUUAGAGCUCGCGGUACAUGCCGCGAGCUACUCUAAUUUGAACGAUUUUUUUUAAAUUUUAUAAUAAUAAUUUUUUUUUAGUUGACUCUCUUUUUUUUUGUGUUAUAAUUUAUUAUUUUAUUGUAAUGUAUAGUUUUUGAUAGAAAAAAUAUUAGAAUAAAAGAAAUGAGUAAAGGUUGAAGUGAAAGAAGCAAAUAAAAGUUAGUGCAUAUCAGCUUUUGAUAAAAAGGCAAAAACUAAAAUAAUUAAUAAAUAAAUGAACAAAAGGUAGCACAUGUCAAACCAUCGUUUCUCCUCUUAUUUAUUAGCAACACAAGCUGCGUUUCUUGUGUUUUUUUUUUUUAAUGUAUAGGACUUGGCUUUUGUAGGACUGUUUUUGGUUUUAGUGUUACUGUAGAACUUGCGGCAUAAACUCAAGUAUAGAAGAGAACUUUGGAAACAGUACUUUUGUUUUAACCUCAAGACACGCCAUAGCUUUUAUUUAUUUUUUACUUGGUUUUGGUGCUAAAGCUUGUGGCUUGUGCGGCACCUUUGUUUUGAAGCUUUCUUUUGUCCUCGCGAUUUACCGCAAGUUAUUUCUAUUGAAGCUCGCGGCAUAUACCGCGAGCUAUUUCUUUUAAAGCUCGCGGUUUAUGCCGUAAGUUAUUAUUAUUGUUUUAUUUUUUUUAUAAUUUUUAAUUAUUAUUUUAUUUUUAUUUAAAGUUAUAAUUUUUUUUAAGUUUUACUUAUUUAUUAUAUAUAUUUAUAUUGCAUAUAUAAAAAUAAUAAUAUCAAAAUCUAUAAUUUUGAUAAGUUUUAUUUGUGAUUUUUUUAUACAUAAUAAAUAAGUAAAAGUAAAAAAUUAUUGAGUAUGUAUACUUAUCUCUUUUUCCAUAAUCAUGUUUGUAGGUAACUUUUUUCAUCAUCCUCUAUGCCUAGGACGCGUGUCCUUUCGAAGAUCAAUUAUGGUGAGCUUGAAAGGGCUGCAACAAGGAAGAAAACCACUGCACAUAAAAGUAAGAAUAGUGAUUCCAAAUUAAUUGUUCCCAAAAAAAUUAUAAUAGAAAAGAGUGGUGAAGUUCCUCCUGUUUUUGAAAAUUUGAAAGAUGAAAUUAUUAAAGAAAGAGGAGAAGAUCGUUUUUAGGAAGAGGUUCAUGCUAGACAGGUUGACGAACAUCUUUAUGAGUCUGUUGGAUAUGAUUGGAAUCGUGUAUGCUCAAAAGCACCUCCUCAUAGAAGAAAUGGUAUUCCAGGACAAUCUAUUCUGAAAUUCAGGUUUGAACGUGGUGAGUUUCCCCUUUUUGCUACUAAGUUAGGCUCCAAUUCUCAAUUUCUUCAUGGUUGGGAUGAAUGGGUAACUAAGGUAUUGAAGAAUCCUUCUUAUGUUAAACUUCUCUCUUCUGUUGGGAUACUUGAUGCUAUACGUAUCACUUCUAAGCUCAAUAUUCGUAGAGAAAAAAUGAUGGAUGUGUGGCGUGCUAUUCUUGCAAGGUGGAGCACGUUUUCUUAUACUAUGAUUAUUACAUGGGGGGAAUUUACCUUCACUCUGGAAGAUGUAUGUGUUCUCUUGGAACUUCCUUGUAUAGGAAAGGAUGAUUUUCACUCUAUUAAGCUUUCUGAAGAAGAGGUAUGUACUCGAGACUUGUUCUUCGAUCUACUUAGGAGUUUGAGUAAAACUUUGAAGGUUGCAAGAUUCUCCAAUUGGAUAGGGGUUUUUUAUAAAAAGUUCAAUGCUAAGGGAAUUGAGAUUGGUUCUCUUGAGUACCCAGACCAUAAGUAUGAACUAGUAGCUUUAAUAAUUUUUUGGCUGGCACGACACGAACUCCCAAGGUGUCCAGAUGAUGGUAUCUCUUCAGUAGUUGUUCAUUUAGCAAUAAAAAUUGUUAAGGGAACACGUUUUCCUCUUGCUCCACUGUAUUUAGGAUCCCUAUAUAAGAGAUUAGACUUGUUCCAACUCAAAACUGUUGAGUUAGCUGGGCGUUACAAAGUUUUGACUUAUGUGGAUACUUCCUUCAUUCAAAUGUGCUUAUGGGAAAAGUUUGGUACUUGCACUCCCGUGCCUAAUGCAUAUCCUUUUGCAUCUUUUACUGUGAAUAACCCUUUAUCCAGGAACAACUACAGAGCUUGGGCAUGGCAUGAUCGACUCUCGAGAGGUAAUGUUCUUGAAGUAAUGCAUGUGACAACAGAAUUCAAUCCCAAACCUUAUGUGCGGCCCAUAAAUGGAUUUGGUGAUCCUAGAAUUUAUUAUGAUCGCCACCUUCUACAGUCUGGAAGAAUGAGUUCACAAUGUAUUAACUUUUGUGUAUGGGUUCACAGUUCCCAAUUGCCAUCUAUGAUUGAGAGUUCCAGUUUAGGUGGAGAUAGAAAUAUUCUUUCUGUUGAGGUAUAUUCUCUUUUUAGAGUAGCACGUCAAUUUGGGUUUGAUCAACCAGCUUUGCCUGACUCUUCUUCAACUAUCAGUUUUUCUUCAUGCGUUUCUUCAUUCCUCAUGGCAGGACUUCAACUUCGUUUAGAUAAACUUAAGAGUUAUACUGUCACAGCUUUUGAUAGAGUUGGUACUCACACUUCUGGAUGGUUUGCUUAUUGGAUGAAUUGUGUUGAAGAAUGAAGAUAUUUUAUUAUGCCUUUGACUAAUUCCAGAGCUUGUCUCUACACUCCUCCUAUAAGUAACUUUGAUGUAUCCUUACGUUUGAUUUCUCUCAAAAAGAAAAGAAAUGUAAAUGAAGAAGAAAAUGAUGCUCCUCGCACUCUUACUCAUCAAACAAAACAUGUGCAUCGAAAAGUAAGUUCAUCAUUUACUUCUUCUUCUACUUCUUUUUUUUUUUAAAUUCAUUUCCUCAUCAUACUUUUUUUUUUGUAGAGAGAAACAACUACGAGAGUAGAACUUAACUCGAUUGAAGAGGAAGAGACUUUUGAAGCUGAGACUGAGGAAGAAUCAUGUGACUCUGAACGUAGUGAUGAAUCUGAUGAUGAAUUAGUUGAUGUUGAUAAAGCUGAAGUUGAGGGUGAGCCAACCCCUUUUGAUGAUUUCAUUGAUUUUGAUGUUUUAUUUCCAAAUCAUGUUUAGAGCUCUACCAUGAACUAGGUAUAAACAUAUUACUAUGUUAUUCUGAUUGAUGUUGUUCCCUUCCAUUUUUUUUUAAUUAAGAUUGUUCUUACUCCGCAGGCUAUUCGAGAUGAGGUUGUUCCGACACUGAGAUUAUUCCUGUUGUUGAAGUUGUUGCUGAAGCUACUCCAAAUGUUGAGGUUAUUCAUGAUGUUGGAGUUGAUACUGACGAUGUUAGAGCUAUUCCAAUGACUCUUCAUGUUUCUUCCUCCCUAGUCCCAGAACAUAAAGAUGCAAGUAGUGCUUUUGGCAUUCAAGUAACACAUACUGAAGAAAGUGGUAAGAAUGUUGACUUCCAUGGUUUUCAAGUUUCAUUGGAGUAUGUGGCAUACUUGGAGCAUGUUUUCAAUAUAAAGGAAAAGUUUUGGAGUACCUCAUUUGUAAAGAACGUAGACGUCAUUUGCUUAAUGAUGGAAAUGUUGGGUAGAGCUUUAACCAUUUCCCAUGCUCCACUAAUGAGUACUUCACCAGAGGAAUUGCAACAGAUGUUACAGGAUUUCGAUGAUGCUUGUAACUUUAGAUUCAAGCUUGAGUGUCUCAGUGAUUGUAGAUCUAAAGCCAAGAUUUUUCUCAACAAGUCUUCUUUGGAGAAUGAGUUAGAAGACACUGCAGCGAAGAUAGCUUUACUGAAAAAACGUGAAGUUGAAGUACAAGAAUAAUUAAAUGUAUUUGCCAAUAAUAACUCUUCUCUAUGGAGUAUGUAAUUGACUAGUCUUUUGCUUUUCCUUUACUCUUUUUGAAAGCUCAUUUGAGCUAGUACUUCACUAUUGAUAUAUCAUAUUUCUUUUCUUUUGCAAUAAUAAUAAUGUUAUACGCUUAUUGCAUAUUUAUUCACAUUUCUUAUAUUGCAUAUGGCCAAAAGGGAACUCUCAACUUUAUAUCAAGGAGAUUAACUCUAACUUGAUAUGAAGGAGAUUAAUUCAACCCUUAAAAUAAGUAAGCGUAAGAGCUGCGGCCAAUUUGUGAGUAAUAAGCUAGGGCCAAGAAAUGAGUGAUAAAGCUAGCGGCCAAUAGCAUAACAUCAUUACAGCCAAAUUAUGAGCGAUAAAGCUAGCGGCUGGAAUGUGAAUAAUAAAUUAUGGUCAAAGAAUAAGUGAUGAAGCUUGUGACCAAAAGAAGAAUAUCAUUACAGCCAAAAUAUGAGCGGUAAAGCUUGCGGCUGAAGUAAGAAUGAUGAACUAUGGUCAAAGAAUAAGCGAUAAAACUUGCGACUAAUAGUAUAAUAUAAUUACAACCAAAAUAUAAGCGAUAAAGCUAGCGACUGAAUAUGAAAUUUUUUUUAAUGUCAAAUUGCAAUUCAUAAAACGAUGAAGAGUUAAAGUCAUAGAAAUAUCAUACAUGAGCAGGAAGCGGGUUGUUCUGGACCCUGUUGUUCUCAAUCAACAACUCUUUUACUUGCAUUUUCUUAUGGAAUAUUCCCUUUUGAAAAUGAUCUUUUCUUUCUCUACCUCUUCCUUAAAUUGCAUUCACUAUUGGAGUAUUCUUUCUAUCGAAGCGAGUAACUCCUUUUUGUUUGAGAACCGUAUUAUUGGUUCUUUGUGCCAUUUCCAUUAAGGUAGCAAAAGUUGAAAAAGGUAAAUUCUGCUAGUGUAGUCUACACUCGUCAAACAUUUUUUUUUUGAAUGCAAACCGUCACUAACUCCUUUUUAUCAUAAGACUCUUGUAUAUCCAUCACCCUUUCUCUAAAGUGUUAGAUGUAUUCCAUAAGGUCUUCUUUAGACUUUUGAUAUUCUGUUCCCAAAUCAAGGAGAUUAACCUUAUCUUGAGUAGAGAAGAAGAACUCUUCCCUAAACAUCCACAUCAAUUAUAGUUUCUCCAUUUCCUUCAUUCCCCUUAGUGUUUGUAAUUAGAGGAAUGACUUCAUGAAGUGCACUCUCAUUAAAGUAUACAGAUUGAGCUUGAAAAAUGGUGAAAGUGAAGGAUACAAGUUGAGAUAUGGUCUCCAACAUCCGCUUAUUGUUGUCUUCUAACAUUUGCAUUCUCUCUUAAGAAGCCUCAAUCAUUUUCAUUAGCUUUUGGAUGUAGGUGGAAAUAGAUGCAUUUUGGUUACCAGAGAAACUGUCCAUCUCUUCCAAUAACAUAAAGUUUUUCUAGUAAGCUUUUACUUAAUGCAAUCACUCCUCCCUAAUGGAGUCACCAAAAUGUAAAUGGGGUUCUUGUGAUAGGGAGAGGAAGCGUUGCAAACAAGUAAAAGAAUGUGCCAGAGGGGGUAGAGAGCAAAAUUGAAGCAGUUCCUAAAGUAUUAAGUACUGUGGUAGGUGAAAGACAAUAAGAAGAGACUUAAAGAGUAUAAGAUAAUUAUAGAGAGAAUUUAGAGAGAGAAGCUCUCAAGUUGAGAAUGUGUUAGCUUGGAGGGGGAGAGAAGAGUCAUUCCAAAUGAAUUGUGAGGCUCUAUAUAUAAUGCUAAAAGUGAUGGUUACAUAAGAAUAUGCUUUAAUGCGCUUAAUGAAUGACAUUAUUAUGAAGAAUAUUAAUGUAAGUAACCGUUACUGUAAUUGGAUGUAAUAAGACUUGUUCUCAAGUAAGGGUAAUAGAAAAUAGGUGUACAAGAAUAGGUACAAGAGAAGAAGCUGUACGAGAAUAGGUACAAGAGAAUAAGCUGUACAUGAAUAAGUAUACAAGAAUAAGGUAAGAGGGUGAAACAGUUGUACUUCAGGAAAGGGUUAAGAGGAAGACCUCUUAACUAUCUCCAUAUCUGAGCCACCAAGCCAAACUCUUUGGAACAUCCCAAGAUGAAAGUAACCCAUAAACCCUGUCAUUUGUUUUGAGUUGCUUUCACUGUCAUCCAAAUGAAGUGGUUAUUUUAUUCGAAGUAGUUGUUCUACUUGUAUUAAUUGUUCCAUAUGGAGUAGUGUUCUAUUUAUUCUAGUUAUUUUACGUUAAGUAGCACUUCACUUGUUCUAGUUGUUCUGCGUGAAGUAGUGCUUCACUUGUUCUACUUAUUCUACGUGAAGUAGCACUUCACUUGUUUUACUUAUUCUGCGUGAAGUAGCACUUCACUUGUUCUAGUUGUUCUCUGUACAACAUUAUAUUGUAACGUAAUUCUUUAAAGUAACAGUAUUAACCAAAAUCUAGUAUCUACAAUCACCAAAUGCAGAUCAUCUCAUAAACGUUCCUAGUUAAAAAGUCACAUCUAAUUAACAUGUAUAAACAAUGAAGCAAAGUUCUUUAUAUUUUGUUUGCGUUUUUCCUCCAUAACUUGUCUCAAGAUUUUAAAAACUUGCGCAAUCCAUAGGAUGCUUUGUUAUAUUCAUGAAUGUGUCGUUCUGUGCAUACGUAAAAAGUUUUGUCAUUGAAAACAAAUAUAUAUUCAAAAGGAAGAAAAUGUCAAUGGCUUAACAUAUAUGAAGAGUCUCCCAAUUUCGAGUAUAUUAUAUAACAUUGAAAGGUAAAGCAGCAAGAAACGAGGUGUAGCAUCAAACUUGUAAAGAGCAUAUGGUAAAAAAGAAAGAGAGAGAGAAGAGAGAAAAAUUAAGAACCUCGAUUCCUUUGCUUCCACCAGUAACAAGUGCAGUCAUGCCUUGAAGACUCCAUCUGUUGUCCUUCCUAGAGCUAUCUGCUUGAGCCAUUCUUACUUCUCUCUCUGACGGCUUGUAGUUGAGAUAUGUUAAUUCCCACAAAGGCUAUUGCUGACAAAAGAUUCAAUAGGAAAUUAAAGGGGGGGGGGGGGGAAAGACAACAUUUGAGAAGUCGUUUUCGAACAACUGUCACAAUUAAUGCAUGGCAAAAUAUUUAUUCUCGAGCCAAUUCUAGAUGAAUUCUUUCUCAAUCCUAGAUGACAACAAGGGUUUAUUGUCAACAAAGAAAAUUUUAUUUUAGGCAUAUUUUUUUAAUUUUAAUAUUUAAUAAAAUCAUAUUUUUAUUGAGUAAAAUACACCUAUCAUAUGUGAUUUUUUAUAUACAAAAAGAAUAUAAUUUAAAGUAAAGCAAAUCCACAAUCCAUAAAAAUAUAUAAAGAGAGAUGCGUAGAAAGAUAGAAGGCAAAGAGAGGAGAAGAAAAAAGGGUUUUCAAUAAGGACUGAUGACGUGAAAGGCGGCGAGAGGAGAGAAGGUAGAUGUUCUUUCUUUAUGUGAUCAUCAAUUUUUAGAAAAAGACACUUUUGAUGUUCAAGAAACUUUACAUCUUGCUAUCAAAAAGGAGAAUUUAUAAAACUCUUUUGAAUUCACAAUUUUUAAAAAAUAUUCUAAAAUUAUUUUUUUCAAUAAUUAUUUAAAUUAAAAAAUAACAAAACAUAUCAUCUCAACAUCUUUCGAAGUCCACGUGAUAUAAAUCUCAACUCAAAAAAAAUCAAACAAGUAUAUCAUUUUUUUUUUCACAUGAAGAGGCUUGUAUCUUUACAUUACAUCGACUAAUUAAGAAGGCACAAUAGGUCCCGAUUUGUAUACAUAUUUUUUUACAAUUUUAACAAUUAUAACACAACAGACAUUAUGAGGCAAGAGUUAUAGAGCAAGUUAUAUUUAAAAUUUGUAGUCUAUUCACUGGGAUAUAAUUCAUAGCCUUUCAGAAGAUGGAAAGAGUGAAUCAAAUUCCAAUCUCUCUUUUUUGUUAACUUAGAUAUUAAAAUUUCUAUAAAUUAAUAUCGAUAAAUUAAUAAACUCGAAUAAAUAAUGUUUUUGAUCAAUUUCGACUUAGGAUCAAUGUGGUAAAUUGAUAAUUCACUAAAUUUAUAAAAUAAUACAUUUUAAAAAAACACAAACACAUAAGUUUCACUUGAAAUAUAAAUUAAUAAUCUCCUAAUAUAUCAAAAUUAUAUAUAUAUAUAUAUAUAUAUAUUAUAAUAUAUAAAACUUAAUUAAGAAGCCUUUGUAAAAUAUGACCCCAAUGCUAUUUGUUUUUCUUGAAAUUGAUGUCUCUUUGGAUCUCAUUUAUAACUUUUCUUUAUAUUAAACAAACCACUCAUAGAGUAACUUCUCUAGUUUCAGGAAUUUUGCAAUUUUGUAUUGUUUGGCAUCACCUUUUUCAAUGUUGGUUGAUAAAUAGACCUCUUAAUCAUAUUUGAUAUUGUUACUUGACUUAUUUGCAAGUUAAACUUUUUUGACACUCACUAUUGUAAUUGCUUUUAGGUGCAAUUUGGAUUUUCUAUGUUGUACUCACAAAAUACUUUACGCAUUUCUUUUGUCAUUGUUGAUUUCUUUAUACUUUUAAGAUGAGAAGCCAUUGUGUUUAAUUUUAUCAUUUGUGAUAUUGUAUAUUCUUUUUAUAAAUGUUUUUGUAUGACUUAAUGUUCAUGAAGUGUAUUAAUUAAGUUUACAUCAAAUGUGAGUUUAGGUUGUUGCAAAAAUGGAUAGAUUCAUGACUUUUAUUUAAUACAACUAAUUACACUCAUAACUUGUUUUGGAAAGAAAUACAUAGAACAAUGAUAUAUCGUAAUUCAGUAAUUAUGUAAUAUUCAUAUAAUCACAAUAUACAAUACAUGUGUUAAGUUCUAUAUUUUAAAAAAAUAAAAAAUACUUUGAUAAAUUAGUUUUUUAUUAAUUAAUGAUAAAUUAAUAAAUUAUUAAUUUAUCGAUUAAAUGAUAUCUUAAUUAAUUAAUAAAUUUUUUUGAUCCUAAAGAUAUUAAUUUGUAGAUGUUUUAGUGUAUGUUCUAAUUCCACAAUAUUGCAUUGGCUAAAAAAUUGUGGAUUUUCGUGAGCCUACCCUUUCUAAAACAUUACUUCUUUUCUAUUAACUAAUUUUCACUUAAUGUCUUAUUUCUCUUUGGAUUUAUUUAUGCAAUGUACUAAUAAGCCAUUUAAUUAUUCAAUAUUAAUUUAUAUCAUGACAUUAUCAACUACAGAUGGCAACAACGCAUAUAGACACACACACAUAUUUUGUAGAAGAGUAAUUAUAGCCAAAAUGAAAGAAGCUGUGGCUUUUGUUUCAUUAUGGUAGACAACAGAAAGAAAAUCUAAAUUCAAGCAAGUGCAGCAGCUCAUAAUUUUUUUUAUUGACCAGCUGCAUACUUGGACUAGCAGAUUAAGCGAAAAAAGAAAGAGAAAGACAAGCAACAACUAGGAAGCAGUAGCUACUGUGCCAAAGCCAAAUGCAUCAUUUCGUUUUUGGGGCAUUAAUAAAAACAACUCUUAUAGAGAAGAUGUUUUCAAAAAUAGUCCUCUUUAUAAUUUUAACUAUUUUUAAUCAAGUUGAACAAAACUACCUUUAAUGAAGAUAUAAAAUUACAAGCCAUGAUGUUACAUACCAUGUACAAAAAUAUGUUACACGCCAUGUACAAUAACAUGUGACACGCCAUGUAUAAAAACAUGUGACACGUCAUAGUUAGGUUGUUACAUGCCAUGCACAAAAACAUGUGACACACCAUGGUUAGGUUGUUACACACUAUGUACAAAAACAUGUUACACGUUAUGUACAAAAACAUGUGACAUGUCAUGGUUAGGUUGUUACACGCUAUGUACAAAAACAUAUGACACGCUAUGGUUAGGUUGUUACACGUCAUGUACAAAAACAUGUGACACAUCAUGGUAGGUUGUUACACGCCAUGGUUAAGUUGUUACACGUUAUGUACAAAAACAUGUUACACGCCAUGUACAGAUACAUGUAACACAUCAUAGUUAAGUUGCUACAUGCUAUGGUUAUGUUGUUACACGCCAUGUACAAAAACAUAUAACACGCCAUGGUUAGGUUGUUACAUGUCAUAUACAAAAAUAUGUUACAUGUCAUGUACAAAAACAUGUGACACGUUAUGUUUAGGUUGUUACACAUUAUAGUUAGGUUACUACACGUCAUGUACAAAAACAUGUGACAUGCCAUGGUUAGGUUGUUACAUGUCAUGUACAAAAACAUGUGACACACCAUGGUUAGGUUGUUACACACCAUAUUGAAGAAAAAAUAUUAUUGUUACACGCCAUGUUGAAAAAAUAUUGUUGUUAUACGUCAUAUUCAAAUACAUUUUGUGACACUUUAAUGCCUAAAAUGUUGUUGUUACUUACGAACCAAAAUUUCAAAUCUUCUCAACUCUCUUCAUUUUUUUUUUUGACAAUUUGGCAUCGAUUAAAGUAUUUUUAAUAUGUUUUCAUAAAUCAAAACACAAAUUUUCUUAUCUAAAACACCUAUUUCGACUAAAAAUCGAAAAAAAAUUUCUUUGAAAACAUAAGUUUAUAAAUUUCAAAAUUUUGAGUUUAUCGAUGUCUAGGUUCCGAAUUGAUACAAUUAAAAGCUAUUUCAAACAUCUGUGAUUAUUUCUACCAUUUUAGUUUAAUCCAAAAUACCUAAAAAUCAAAAUUUUCAAAUAGUCACCCACCCAAGCACAUCAAAACCAUCGCUUGGUGUCUUGAAAGCGCAGGAAAGAAAAAUCUAAAAACGUGAGAGAAAGAAAUCGGGAGCAUAACAGAUGAAUGCCGAAGAGAGAAAUCGAUAAAAAUAGAGAGAGUGGGAUGGCGAUGAGAGAAAUCGGAAGCAUAAAUGGGGAGAAAUUGUGAUGAAUGAUUUAAUUUAUUUGAAAUAGAUUCAAGGGUAUUUUUGUCAAGUUAUGGCUAAAUAUGGUUAAAAACAGUUAAAUUUAUUUUGAUGGUUAUUUUUGAAAUGUAAGUUAUUGUUCAUAAUUUCCUCUUCUUAUUUUUUCUUGUUUGUUUCUUGGGGAAAGCCUUAUGUGCUCUUUCAAGAUAGGGAAUUAACCUAGCUGUUCUUCCCGAGCAAGGUCUCAGGGUAGAAGAAGGCAUUUACUGACAUGCCCCCAUCGAUGCAAAAAGUCUACCCUGUUAUAUAAAAGGAUGUUGGUAGACACAAGAAUCCCACCAAGGAUGACACUUCCUCUGGCUGUCCAAUGCGUCCCAUUGGAUAGAUUCAUGACUUUUAUUUAAUAAAACUAAUUACACUCAUAACUUGUUUUGGAAAGAAAUACAUAGAAUAAUGAUGUAUCGUAAUUUAGUAAUUAUGUAAUAUUCAUAUAAUCACAAAAUAUAAUACAUGUAUUAAGUUUUAUAUUUUAAAAAAAUUAAAAAAUACUUUAAUAAAUUAUUUUUUAUUAAUUAAUCAUAAAUUAAUAAAUUAUUAAUUUAUCGAUUGAAUGACAUUUUAAUUAAUUAAUAAAUUUUUAUGAUCCUAAAGAUAUUAAUUUAUAGACGUUUUAGUGUAUGUUCUAAUUCCACAAUAUGCCAUUGGCUAAAAAAUUAUGGAUUUUUGUGAGCCUACCCUUUCUAAAACAUUACUUCUCUUCUAUUAACUAAUUUUCACUUAAUGUCUUCUCUCUUUGGAUUUAUUUAUGCAAUGUACUAAUAGGCCUUUUAAUUAUUGAAUAUUAAUUUAUAUCAUGACAUUAUCAAUUACAGAUGGCAACAAUACAUACACACAUAUAUAUAUAUAUUGUAGAAGAGUAAUUAUAGCCAAAAUAAAAGAAGCAACAGCUUUUGUUUCAUUAUGGUAGACAACAGAAAGAAAAUCCAAAUUCAAACAAGUGCAACAGUUCAGAAUUUUUUUUUAUUGACCAGCUGCAUACUCGAACUGGCAGAUUAAGAGGAAAAAGAAAGACAAAGAGAAGCAACAACUAGGAAGCAGUAGCUGCGGUGCCAAAGCCAAAUGCAUCAUUUCUUAUUUUUCUUGUUUUGUUUCUUGGGCAAAGCCUUAUGCACCAUUUCAAGAUAGGGAAUUAGCUUGGCUGCUCAUCCCGAGCAGGGUCUCAUGGUAGAAGAAGGCAUUCACUGACAUGCCCCCAUCGAUGCAAAAAGUCUGCCCUGUUAUAUAAGAGGAUGCUGGUAGACACAGGAAUCCCACCAAGGAUGACACUUCCUCUGGCUCUCCAAUGCGUCCCAUUGGAGUUCGAGAGAUGAUAUUCUCUGAAAACUUUUGAAUGUACUGCAAGCAAGGAGGACAACAAGUAUAGAUACUGCUAAUUAACAACACUUAAAACGUAAUACAGUUUGAGGAACAAAAACUUGCAUGCUGUAGUGUAGCCUUUCCAGCAUUUAUGAGUUCUUGCCAUAUACUUUUUAAUAAUAUGAAAAUCCUAGCAACCAAUAUACUUAUUUGUUGUGAUUUACUUCAUAAUUCUCCUUGGAUAUCCUUUUUGAUUACUCUGAAUGAUAUGAUCAUGCUGAUAAACUUAAAGACUACAAGCAUGGGAGGAAAAAUAUAUAUAUUUUACAUCUUCAGUAAGGGGAGUUCGGAUGAACCAAGGUGCAACAGAGUUGACCCUUAUGUUGUCCUUUGCCCACUCACAUGCCAAGUAUUUUGCAAGGUGGUUCAUGGCUCCUGCAAAUAAUGGAAUGGCAACCUAAAUUCUCAAUCUUGAACGAUUACUCAACUAUAUGCUUGCAAUAAAGGUUUCAUUUGCCAGGAAAAUUAUAUAUAUAUACACGCACAUACCUUUUGUUGCUCCAUAUAAAGAUCCAAAACUUACUGAUACCACACCAGCAAUCGAAGAGAGAAAAACAAUGCUUCCUGCCCCUGAAGCUUUCAAAAGAGGAUAGGCAAGUUGACAAGUUGUAAGCAGACUCAAAAUUGGUCCCCAUCAUAAAUGAGAAAUCUUCAGUGGUGAUGUCUGGAGUCGGCUUUAAAAUAGCUGUCCCCACAUUGUUAAUCUAUAGCCACACCAAUUUGGCAUUUAUAUUGAUAUUUGAGGAUACUAGUUUGGCAUUGUUGCAAUCACAAAUGUCGUCUCAUUAGCAAAACUCAGGAGUCGAGACACUAUGCAGAAUGAGAGUUUGAUGAACUUCCAAAAAAUAAAGUGAAAAAAAAAAAGGGGGGGGGGGGAAGGAAGGAGAGUAAAGAGAAUGCUUAAGAGCAGCAAAGUGAAGAAAAAAUAGAACAACUUCUUCAUUCAUAUCAGUUUGCUACUUAAAGCUUAAGUACAGGGAAUAAAAAGAGAACCAUAAGACAUGAAAUUAGAAACUGAAAACUACCCACUAAGUAAACUCAAUAGAUAACUGAUCCAUAAUUCUAAGUGGUAGACUAACAUGUGCCAAGUAGGAUAACCAACAGUAACUGACUGCAACAUAAAAAAUAAGACUAAACUUAAAUGAGUCUUAUGCACCAGCAUGUAGUAUCUGCUGGUUGCUCAGAUAAACACUAGCAAUGGUUAAAGAGAUGCAUUCCAACUUCAACAGAGUUACCAGAAAAAGAAAAGAAUCAGAAUGGAUGUUUACUUACCAGGAUGUUGAGUUUUCCUCCAAAUUCAGAGGAGACUGUUUAUUAGCUUCUCUCUUUGGGCCUGCGAUGAUACAUCACAGACUGAACCAGUAACCUGGAAACCCUUCGCUGCCCAGUCAAGUAAGCAUUUGUUGAGGUCCGUUUCAGUCCGGGAGCAUGUGUGUAUUCUUGCUCUCAGUCCAGCUAAUUCCUCUAUGAUAGCAUGCCUGGUUGCAGUAUUAAUUUGUGAUGAGUAAAAUAUUAGCUCCGUCUUGGCAUAAUCCAAGGAAAAGUAAAUUAAUGUCUUCACAUCAGCAUGUUAAUUGUAAUAUAAGCCUUUAACAAUUUCCCCUAGAAUCCAAUAAAUGAAAUCAAAAUCGUCUUGGUGAACCGACCAUCACAGUCACUUUUAGCAACACAAAAAUCUAAUUCCUGUUUUUCCUUGAUUUACAAAAUCUUUUAUCGAAUAUAAUGAUCUAAUCACCAAAACAGAUCACUUCAUCACUUCAUACCAAGCGCCCCUAGUUAAAAAGUCGCAUCUAAUUAAAAUGUAUAAACAACAAAGCACAAGUUUUUAUUUAUUGUUUUUGUUUUUGUUCCAGAACCUGUCUCAGGAUUUUAUUAACUUACUCAAUCCACAUAAUGCUUUAUCGCAUUCAGAACUGUAUAGUUCUGGGUAUACAUAAAAGGUUUUGUCAUUGUCAAUAAACAUAUAACUAAUUCUUAAGUUGUUGUACCUAAGUGAAUAGUCAAUGAGGGAAGUAAAGGAGAAGACAAUGUCAAUGGCCUGAUAUAUAUGAACCGUCCCCCAAUUUCGAGUAUAUUAUAUAUUGAAAGGUAAAGCAGCAAGAAACGAGGUGUAGUAUCAAAUUAACAAAAGCAGAAGGUAAAAAGAAAGAGAGGGAGAAGAGAGAAAGAGAACCCGAUUCCUUUGGUUCCACCAGUAACAAGUGCAGUCAUGCCUUGAAGACUCCAUCUGUUGUCCUUCCUAGAGUUAUCUGAUUGAGCCAUUCUUACUUCCAUCUGUUGUCCUUCCUAGAGUUAUCUGCUUAAGCCAUUCUUACUUCUCUCUCUCUCGGCUUGUAGUUGAGAUAUAUUAAGUAUAUAUAGACAGUUUCUUCCCACGUAGGUCAUUGCUGACAAAAGAUUCAAUAGGAAAUUAAAUGGGGAAAGGACAGCAGUUGAGUAGUUGUUUCCAUAAUGUGGUCACAAUGAGUGGCAAUUUUAAACAAAUAAUAUAUUAAUGAAAAAUUGGAUAGAUUCUAAUAGUACUUGCUAUUUUAAUUCAAAAAACGUGUUUAGUAAGUUAAAAGAAGAUUUACGAGCUUGCCCUGUGAAAUGAGUGUGGAAUCAUUUUUCAAGGUACCAUUCAGAUUUGGUUGCUCGUUUCAACAAAGCCCAAAAUAUGCAAAUACGGUUUAUAGAGGAUCAAAGUUACAUACAUGCUGGGUUUCUUUGUUUAGGCAUAAAAACAAAGUUCAGGCAUAUGAAUGGGCUUGAACUAGCCUUCUCAGGCUCUGGCCUUGGCCGACCCAUGACACGUCUAGUUGAAAGGAGUCUUAUUGUAAGAGUCUUAUACAUGGCAAAUUGCGAAGUGGGGUGGGUGGUGUUCAAUUUCUUUUCAAGCUAUGUUUGAUGGGAAGAAGAGGCCGUUCAGUGUGAUCCCUCCAUCAACGUAAAUAAUCUGCCCUGUUAUAUAAGAAGCUGCAGGCAGGCAGAGAAAUGCCACCAAUGACGAGACUUCCUUUGGCUCUCCGGCGCGUCCCAUCGGAAUCUUAGUGAUGAAAGCCUCAAGUGCUUUUUCAUCAUGAAAAACCUACAAAGGAGAACGGAAAACAAUCGUAAUCAGCUCUUUCAAAAUUGGAGAAUGUGGAGUAAAGUAUGCUUUGACGAAGCUUUCCCAGUUUUCUAGCAAGGACAAUGUAGCAUUUGGUCUGCUAAUGUUAGGUUGGCCUGUUGCCUCUUCUGCUAAAUAGCAUUUUUCUAAGUUCUUGUCAUGGUGCUAAAGUGAUCCCACAUGUUCAUCUUUUCUCCAACAAAAUCACUUUUAUUUUUAUAUUGGACGAUAUUCGUGCUGGCUAAGUCCUAUUAUGAUCAUGCUGAAUGAUGAUAAGCCUAGGGAAAGCUAUUUACAGGUUCAGCAAGGGGAGUUCUGAUCAGUGAAGGUGCAACAGCGUUGACCCUAAUAUUAUCUCCCGCCCACUCACAUGCAAGGUGUUUUGCAAGCUGGUUCAUGGCCCCUGAAACAGAUACAUGAUAUUCAGGGAAAUGGCAAAAAAUUUAAG
rnacentral:lncRNA from 1 species